rnacentral:rRNA from 1 species
GAUGAACGCUAGCGGCAGGCUUAAUACAUGCAAGUCGAGGGGCAGCAUGAUUGUAGCAAUACAAUUGAUGGCGACCGGCAAACGGGUGCGGAACACGUACACAACCUUCCAAUAAGUGGGGAAUAGCCCAGAGAAAUUUGGAUUAAUACCCCGUAACAUAACGAUGUGGCAUCACAUUGUUAUUAUAGAUUUUUCGCUUGUUGAUGGGUGUGCGGCUGAUUAGAUAGUUGGCGGGGUAACGGCCCACCAAGUCUACGAUCAGUAGCUGAUGUGAGAGCAUGAUCAGCCACACGGGCACUGAGACACGGGCCCGACUCCUACGGGAGGCAGCAGUAAGGAAUAUUGGACAAUGGACGCAAGUGUGAUCCAGCCAUGCCGCGUGAAGGAUUAAGGUCCUCUGGAUUGUAAACUUCUUUUAUAAGGGACGAAAAAAGGCUUUUCUAAGUCGUCUGACGGUACCUUAUGAAUAAGCACCGGCUAACUCCGUGCCAGCCGCCGCCGUAACAC